UGGGGAAUAUUGCGCAAUGGGCGAAAGCCUGACGCAGCGACGCCGCGUGAGGGAUGAAGGUUUUCGGAUCGUAAACCUCUGUCAGGGGGGAAGAAUGUUUGUGAGAUGAAUAAGCUUACAAAAUGACGGUACCCCCAAAGGAAGCACCGGCUAACUCCGUGCCAGCAGCCGCGGUAAUACGGAGGGUGCAAGCGUUAAUCGGAAUCACUGGGCGUAAAGCGCUCGUAGGCUGUCCUACAAGUCACAAGGUGAAAUCCCCCGGCUCAACCGAGGAACUGCCUUUGAAACUGUAGGUCUUGAGUGUCGGAGAGGGUGGCGGAAUUCCAAGUGUAGGAGUGAAAUCCGUAGAUAUUUGGAGGAACACCGGUGGCGAAGGCGGCCACCUGGACGACAACUGACGCUGAGGAGCGAAAGCGUGGGUAGCAAACA
rnacentral:rRNA from 1 species